UACGAAGGGGGCUAGCGUUGCUCGGAAUCACUGGGCGUAAAGCGCACGUAGGCGGACUCUUAAGUCGGUGGUGAAAUCCUGGAGCUCAACUCCAGAACUGCCUUCGAUACUGGGAGUCUCGAGUUCGGGAGAGGUGAGUGGAACUGCGAGUGUAGAGGUGAAAUUCGUAGAUAUUCGCAAGAACACCAGUGGCGAAGGCGGCUCACUGGCCCGAUACUGACGCUGAGACGCGAAAGCGUGGGUAGCAAACAGG
rnacentral:rRNA from 1 species